CAGAGAAGAUACUUGAUAUGAUUUCAAUCUUCUUAAAUUUGUUAAGACUUGUUUUGUGGCCUAAUAUGUGGACCGCCUUGCAGAACAACCAUGUGUACUUGAAAAAAAUGUGUAUCCUGCUGUUCUUGGGUGAAGUGCUCAGUAUAUGUUUGGUUCCGCUAUUCUAUAGUGUUAAGUCCUCUGUUUUUUUUUAAUUGAUCUCCUCUUUGUUCUAUCCGUAACUGAAAGUGAAGUAUUGAAAUAUGCUACUGUUACUAUGUUGCUGUCUAUCUCUCCCUUCAGUUCUGUCAAUGUUUGCUUUAUAUAUUUGGGAGUUCUAAUGUUAGGUGCAUGUACAUUAUAAUUGUUAUAUCUUCCUGGUGAACUGAUGCUGUUAUUAUAUAAUGUCCUUCUUUGUCUCAUAUAAUAGUUUUGGUUUUAAAGUCUGUUUUAUCUUAGUAUGGCCACUUCUCCUCUCUUUGGAUGCUUGUUUUCAUGGAAUAUUUUUCCAUCCUUUUAGCCUAUGUGUAUCUUUAGAUCUAUAGCAUGCCUCUUGUAGACAACCUAUUAGUUGGUUCUUAUUUUUUAUCCAUUUAGCCCAUCUGUGUCUUUUAAUUAGUAUAUUUAUUCUAUUACAUGUAAAGUAAUUACUGACAGGAAAAGACUUACUAUUGCCAUUUCGUUCGUUGUUUUCUGUAUAUGCUAUAACUUUUUUGUUCUUCCUGCUCCCUUAUUUUGUGCUUUGCUGGUUUUUGUUGUUGUUGUUGUUGUUAGUGACACAUUUUGAUUCCCUUCUCAUUUCCCUUUGUGUAUAUUCUAUAAUUUCUCUGUGGUUACUGAUGGAAUUACAUACAGUGUUUUAAAGUUAUAAUAUAUUUUAAACAUACUUUAACUUCAGUCACAUAAAAACUGCUCCAUUUCAGUUCUGCCUUACCCACUUUAUGUUUUUAAGAAAGAUUACCUAUUUUAAUAUUGCAUGUUUAUUAACAUAGAUAUAUAAUUACUUUUUAUGCUGCUUUUGUGUUUUAAAUUCCAUCCCAGAUUUAAAAGUGAUUUAUGCAGUUACAUUACAACACUACAUAGUUAUAAAUUUAUCUAUAUUUUUACCUUUGCGAGGGAGUUUUAUAUUUUUGUCUGAUUUUCGUUGCUCUUCAUCAUCCUUCUGUUUUAACUUGAAGGACUCCCUUCAGCAUUUCUUUUUUUUUCCCCAGCCUGUUUGUUUUCUGUUGAUACCACAAUGAUCAGAUCUUGACCAUGUACGUCCACAGUGGUCACAACCAUUCCUUCCAUUGCUGCUGUGUGGUCUUCAAAUUCUCCCCAUGCAUAUUGAGCUGGCAGUGCAUAGCACAUGUUUUCUUGGGCUGCAAUUCCAGGGGCUUGUACUUUGUGCUCUUGUAGAAUUUCCUAAGAUUCUGUUUCUGAGUCUGAUUAAUGGUAGUGAGAACAAAGGCAAUAGAUUUGCAAACAACUCGAGUCUUAAGAGAGUUUGGAUGUUGUGCUGCCUGGCAGUUCAGAGACAUGCAGCUGGUACAGCUCCACCUUCAGGUCAUCCAUCGGUUUCAGCAACUCAUCUUUCUAGCCUGGAAGUCUCAAGACAAUCUUGGCUAUGGCUGUACAAGGUUGUUUUUAAAGUACGAAACAGGGCCUGGCCUGGCCUGGCCUGUCAGGGCACGGGUGGCGGCGGCUCCAGCACCAUGUCCCUGCCGUACGGGGCGGAGGAGACGCCCCUCGCCGGCAGUUACGGUGCGGCGGAUUCCUUCCCAAAGGAUUUCGGCUACGGCGUGGAGGAGGAGGAAGAGGAGGCGGCAGCCACGGGCGGCGGGGUUGGGGCGGAGGCCGGAGGAGGCUGUGGCCCGGGGGGCGCUGACAGCUUCAAGCCGAGGAUUCUGCUCAUGGGCCUCCGGCGCAGCGGCAAGUCCUCCAUCCAGAAGGUGGUGGUUCAUAAAAUGUCACCUAAUGAGACCCUCUUUUUGGAAAGUACCAACAAGAUUUACAAAGAUGACAUUUCUAAUAGCUCCUUUGUGAAUUUCCAAAUAUGGGAUUUUCCUGGGCAAAUGGACUUUUUUGACCCAACUUUUGACUAUGAGAUGAUCUUCAGGGGAACAGGAGCGUUGAUAUAUGUCAUUGAUGCACAGGAUGACUACAUGGAGGCUUUAACAAGACUUCACAUUACUGUUUCUAAAACCUACAAAGUUAACCCAGACAUGAAUUUUGAGGUUUUUAUUCACAAAGUUGAUGGUCUGUCUGAUGAUCACAAAAUAGAAACACAGAGGGACAUUCAUCAAAGGGCCAAUGAUGACCUUGCAGAUGCUGGGCUAGAAAAACUCCACCUUAGCUUUUAUUUGACUAGUAUCUAUGACCAUUCAAUAUUUGAAGCCUUUAGUAAGGUGGUGCAGAAACUUAUCCCACAGCUACCAACCUUGGAAAAUCUAUUAAAUAUCUUUAUAUCAAAUUCAGGUAUUGAAAACGCUUUUCUCUUCGAUGUUGUCAGCAAAAUCUACAUUGCAACAGACAGUUCACCUGUGGAUAUGCAGUCAUAUGAACUUUGCUGUGACAUGAUUGAUGUUGUAAUUGAUGUGUCUUGUAUAUAUGGGUUAAAGGAAGAUGGAAGUGGAAGUGCUUAUGACAAAGAGUCCAUGGCCAUCAUCAAGCUGAAUAACACAACUGUCCUGUAUUUAAAGGAGGUGACUAAAUUUUUGGCACUGGUUUGCAUCCUUAGGGAAGAAAGUUUUGAAAGAAAAGGUUUAAUAGACUAUAACUUCCAUUGUUUCCGAAAAGCUAUUCAUGAGGUUUUUGAGGUGGGUGUGACUUCUCACAGGAGCUGUAGUCCCCAGACCAGUGCCCCCAGCCUGAAAGCGUUGACACACAACGGCACACCACGAAAUGCCAUCUAGCCUGGACGCCAGCGAUCGGGGCUCUGUGCCAGCUUAUUCUUCACUCCAGGGUCAGAUGCCACGUGCUACAGGACAUGGGAGUUGCCGCUUAUGGGAACCUGGUACCUGUCCCUCUAGAGACAAGGGGUAGAGUUUCUCAUUUGGAUGAAAACCCCUUCAGCCAGUGGUGUGCAACUGAAGCUACUAUUUCUUUAAAAAAAAAAAAAGGCAAAAAAGAAUUCCAGAGACCACAGAAGUGUGUGUCUUUCUCCUCUUGGGGGCCCUACUUUAAGUAGUUGGAAUGUCUUGGACCUGGAGAUAACAGCCCUUAACCUGUCCUUACCAGGGAAUGUUGCCAUCAAAUACCAGUUGAAAAUAAUAGAAAGAACUGAAUUUUUAUAUGCCUCACUUAGAUUUUCAUUUGAGUAGUCUCUAAAAAUCCUGCCUCUCUUAAGUUCUAACACUGCCUCUCAGAUUUCAAUUUUGGACCUUGCACACCUCAGACCUUCUAAAUGCAUUUGCUUGCUAACUCAGAAGACACAUGGUCUGACUACAGCAAAAAAGGACAUUCCUGUAUUGGUUUCUGAAGAAAUGAGAAAAUUUUGUGCUGCAUCAAGUCAAGAGCAAGUCUCCAACAGUGGCUGCUGCGUUCGUUCCCUCUGAAGUGUUGAAGAACAAACUUUGAGACAAGAAAAUUUUGCACCUGUGUUUUGGAUACCAGAUACCUGGGUUCCUUCCCUCACAUUUGAUAAAUGAUUCUGAUCACUGUUUU